AAGCACAAGGGGGAGCCUAGGCUCCCCCUUCAAGUCAGGUCGUGCUUUGUUCUUCUUGUGGCCACAGGCUUGUUGUUUUUGUUGGUUGCCCGCCCGGACUGCUUGGUCCGGUCAUAGUCCCAAGCUGGGACUCAAGAACAAACGGAUUACUUUGGACGCUGAUGUUGCCACUCCCCUUGCGGGGUCAACCGGUUUCGGACUCUGCCUCGGGGCAGUU
rnacentral:misc_RNA from 1 species